GUGGGGAAUCUUCCGCAAUGGACGAAAGUCUGACGGAGCAACGCCGCGUGAGUGAAGAAGGUUUUCGGAUCGUAAAGCUCUUUCGUUAGGGACGAACGUGCUCUUUGUGAAUAAUGAGGAGUAAUGACGGUACCUAAAUAAGAAGCCACGGCUAACUACGUGCCAGCAGCCGCGGUAAUACGUAGGUGGCAAGCGUUGUCCGGAAUUAUUGGGCGUAAAGCGCGCGCAGGCGGGAUAUCAAGUCUGUCUUAAAAGUGCGAGGCUCAACCUCGUGAGGGGACAGAAACUGGUAUUCUUGAGUGUCGGAGAGGAAAGUGGAAUUCCAAGUGUAGCGGUGAAAUGCGUACAGAUUUGGAAGAACACCAGUGGCGAAGGCGACUUUCUGGACGAUGUCUGACGCUGAGGCGCGAAAGCUAGGGGAGCGAACGGGAUUAGAUACCCCUGUAGUCC
rnacentral:rRNA from 1 species